GAUGAACGCUGGCGGCGUGCCUAAUACAUGCAAGUCGAGCGAACCACUUCGGUGGUGAGCGGCGAACGGGUGAGUAACACGUAGGUGAUCUGCCCAUCAGACGGGGACAACGAUUGGAAACGAUCGCUAAUACCGGAUAGGACGAAAGUUUAAAGGUGCUUCUGGCACCGCUGAUGGAUGAGCCUGCGGGGCAUUAGCUAGUUGGUAGGGUAAAGGCCUACCAAGGCGACGAUGCGUAGCCGACCUGAGAGGGUGAACGGCCACACUGGGACUGAGACACGGCCCAGACUCCUACGGGAGGCAGCAGUAGGGAAUCUUCGGCAAUGGGCGAAAGCCUGACCGAGCAACGCCGCGUGAAUGAUGAAGGCCUUCGGGUUGUAAAAUUCUGUUAUAAGGGAAGAACGACUUCAGUAGGAAAUGGCUAGAGUGUGACGGUACCUUAUGAGAAAGCCACGGCUAACUACGUGCCAGCAGCCGCAGUAA
rnacentral:rRNA from 1 species